rnacentral:rRNA from 1 species
GUGGGGAAUUUUGGACAAUGGGCGCAAGCCUGAUCCAGCAAUGCCGCGUGCAGGAAGAAGGCCUUCGGGUUGUAAACUGCUUUUGUACGGAACGAAACGGUCCGGGUUAAUACCCUGGGCUAAUGACGGUACCGUAAGAAUAAGCACCGGCUAACUACGUGCCAGCAGCCGCGGUAAUACGUAGGGUGCAAGCGUUACUCGGAAUUACUGGGCGUAAAGCGUGCGCAGGCGGGUUUGUAAGACAGGCGUGAAAUCCCCGGGCUCAACCUGGGAAUGGCGCUUGUGACUGCAAAGCUGGAGUGCGGCAGAGGGGGAUGGAAUUCCGCGUGUAGCAGUGAAAUGCGUAGAUAUGCGGAGGAACACCGAUGGCGAAGGCAAUCCCCUGGGCCUGCACUGACGCUCAUGCACGAAAGCGUGGGGAGCAAACAGGAUUAGAAACCCCGGUAGUCC